rnacentral:lncRNA from 1 species
GAACUACAGUAGCCACGUGUGACUUGUAGUGUUUCAGUUGAUUUGGAGGAAAGAUUUGAUGUCUUUCAUUUCUCUUGAAGAGCAAAACUAUCAGAUGAAUAGGUGAAAGUUUUUGUUAUGCUCAAAUGAAAGUGAUGGAGGACUUGAAGGCCACUCACCCAUCAAUAGUUUUCAUUAGAACUUCCAUUGCCAACAAUACAGCAGAAAUCACAAG